rnacentral:rRNA from 1 species
UACGUAGGGUGCAAGCGUUGUCCGGAAUUAUUGGGCGUAAAGAGCUCGUAGGCGGUCAGUCGCGUCUGCUGUGAAAACUCGGGGCUUAACUCCGGGCCUGCAGUGGGUACGGGCUGACUAGAGUGCGGUAGGGGAGACUGGAAUUCCUGGCGUAGCGGUGAAAUGCGCAGAUAUCAGGAGGAACACCGGUGGCGAAGGCGGGUCUCUGGGCCGUAACUGACGCUGAGGAGCGAAAGCGUGGGGAGCGAACAGG